AUUCAAGAUGACAUUAGAGAGAUGACAAAGUCUAGGUUAAGGAGGAUCUUGUAGACUCUGAGUAUGGUGUUGAGCAGGGAAGAGACAGGCUCUGGCUUAGGGUUUAGAAGGAACGCAGGCUAUGUGGUGAGGAUUGUCUGAAGGGUAACAAAAGGCCAAGAUGUUAUUUGAAGCUGUGAGACUGAGUGAGAUCAUGGAGGAAGUGAAUGUAAAUAGAAAAGGGAAAAAGUCUGAAGAUGGAGCCCUGAGACACUCCAUUGUAAACUGGAAGAUGAGGAAGAGCCGGCAAAGGAGACUGAGAAGGGGCAGCCAGUGAAGAUGGAACCAGGGCUAGAGCGAAAGCCCCUCCUGUGAUGCUGUGAACCCCAAGUUUGAAGACUACUGAUAACCCCAAUCUACGAAGACUGGCUAUGGAACUUCCUACAUGGAGACAACGCCAGUGGAACUCUGAUAAUUAUCCUAAAACAAGGAGGCUUCUUCAGUAACCCUUGAACUAUGUUCAAAUAUGUGAUUACAUUUAUGUCCUUAAUAUCACUAUUAGUUUCUGAUGUUAAAGUAAAAGUUGAGGAAAAAGUAGAAAAGGUAAAGCAGUACAGGUUAGUUCAAUGCCAGAGUAACUUCUAGGAGGGUAUAUAUUCAGUGUGAACAAUUUUCAACAGAGAAAUGUCAACUUCUGGCCACAACAGCAACCAGUAAAAUAACUAUUUUUAGUGUCAUAUCUAUUAAUGAAGAGGAGAUUGCAUAAUAUAGAUGAGAGAGCGUAGUAUUUGAAGGUGGAACGCCUAGCAGGGCUUGAGUCUCAACUCUGCUGCUUUUACUCUAAUUGACCGAGACAAGUCAUUUAAACUAAAAGAGCCUCAAUUUUCUCAUAUCUAAUGUAACAUAAGAGUUCACAGCCUUUUACAUUGUAGUUACUGUGAAGAUCUAAUCACAAUGAAAUAUAUUUAUAUGUCUGUCUGCUGA